rnacentral:rRNA from 1 species
UACGUAGGGUGCGAGCGUUAAUCGGAAUUACUGGGCGUAAAGCGUGAGCAGGCGGUUUUGUAAGGCAGAUGUGAAAUCCCCGGGCUCAACCUGGGAAUGGCAUUUGGGACUGCAAGGCUUGAGUGCGGCAGAGGAGACUGGAAUUCCUGGUGUAGCAGUGAAAUGCGUAGAUAUCAGGAGGAAUACCGAUGGCGAAGGCAGGUCUCUGGGCUGACACUGACGCUCAUGCACGAAAGCGUGGGGAGCAAACAGG